AAAAUGAAUAAACAUUAAAAAAAUGUUUUUUAAAAAAGAAAAAACUUAGAGUGGGGAAAAGCUUCUGGAAAAUUAAAAAUAAAUUUUUUUUAAAUAUGAUAGCAGAAAUGAAAAGAACUCAACAAAAGGAUUAGAAGAUAAAGUCUCUUCCAAAAAGAGAAGGGAAAUAAAAAUUUAAAAAAAGAAAAGAAAAUUGAAGUACAAGUCCAGGGAAUCCUAUAUUGGAAUAAUAAAUUCCAGAAAGAGCAAACAGAACAAAAAAGAGGGGAAGAGACACCAAAAUAAUUUAAGGACCUUUCCCAGAGUUGAAGGGCAUGAGAUUCCAUUGAGAAUACCCAUCAUGACAGACAGACUAAUACAAAGGUCCAUUGUCAUGGAAUUUCAGAACACUGGAAACAAAGAGAAAAAUCUUACAAACUUCUAGAGAGCAAAAACAGCCAUCAAGGUCUCAAAUAAUGUACUUCCCAUACACCCUUUCUCUAGAAGCUACUGGAGCAAGUAUUCCAAAAGCAAAUCAAGACAGAGAAAAAUCUGGGAUACAGUAAACAAGAAAGCUAUCACAAGAAGGAGAGCUACAUGUGUGCCAGCACUUAAAUAUAAAGUACUCACAAGCUCUAGCGGACUGAGACGAGCACUGGAGAUAGGCCUGGAAUCAGAUGACUCAAAACUGGAUGCAUGGAGGCUAGCAGAGGAGAUGGAACAGAAAUAUUAUUACAUUGUGAGAAGCAGUUUCAAUAAUGUAAGAUCUACACAGUUAAUCUAUUAUUAUUAUAUUAAUGUUAGUAUGUCAUUAAAUAAAAUAUGGAAAUGUUCAGUGAUAUAAGUGAACUGAGUUAGAAGUGUGUUUUUGGGGGGUAGGGAAGUAUUUUUUUUCUUUAUAUUUGUUAAAUUACAAAUUCUUAUCAAAGAGGAUUUUUGCCAACUUAAACAAUCACUCAGAGUUUGAAAGCUUGUCUGUUUAUAGUAAAGUACACCUGAACUAGAAGACAAUAGUAUCACAGAAAUUUUAACUUUAUAAAAAUUCUCCUAACAAUUGGAACAAAUCCAUUCAGUUAGUAUGGAUUAAAUACCAAACACUAUGCUAAACAGUUUCGAGUACAUCCUCUCAGUUAAUCCCUACAGCAGUUCUGUGAGGGAGGGAGUCUUAGACAAUAGUACAAAAGCUAUGACAUAUGCCCAGAGAUGAUAUUCAAACUGUUACUUAUGAGAUGGGGUGGGAGGAGCAGGGCAGUCAGAAGCCCUGGGGCUACAGCUAUUUAUGCACCAAUAUAGAGACACGCCAAUAUUUUCACAACAGGAGCAGCUUCCUUGGAGUGUGCAAGUUAAAUGUCAGCCCUGCUUCCAAAUAAUCUUAAUACAAUGUAGAAACUGAUGGGGUCAAUGAAAAAAACUGAGAUAACUCCCAGGUUAUUACAAAAAAAGGAAGGGAUUUCUGACUGGGAGAAGGUGUCAGGGAGACUUCCUGGAGGAGCUGGUCCUUGAGCUGGGUUCUGAAAAAUGCUGAAUUUGAAGCAUGAGGCAAUGGCUGAUAUCAGGGCUGCAGUAGAGAAGGAAUUUCCAGGAAAGUCAAUGAAUGAGCCAAGGCAGAGUGCCAAGAACAUAUGGGGUGUGUGCUGGACAAGAAUGAGCUCUGGAAAUAUAAACUGGAGUUGGACCAGAGAGAGAAUGGAAUAGCAGGUCAAGAAAAUAAAUAAAAGCUGCUGAGCAAAUUAAUUAAUAGAUUUUGAGGCAUGAUGUGAUCCGGCAGGGGUGGGUAGGAUGGAAAGGAAAAAGACUAGAAGGGACAAAAUCAGGUUCUUGUGUAAUCAGCCAACUAACUCUUAGAGGUCCUCAAGGAAGCAUUCCUGGACAUGCCUCUCCCCCUCCUCCAGCCUCAGUUAGGUGUUCCUCCUCCAUACUCUGCAAGGUCACUGGUUGGCCUCUAUCAGUACACCUUCCCACUGUGCUCCUGGUGCUGCCUCACCAGACUCUGAGCCACAAUUCUUUAUGUGAGGCACAGCUGAAGGUGUGGAGGUCAACACUCGUAGAAUCGCUGAACUUCACUUUCAAAUAUAGAUCUAAGAAAUAUCCAGCUGAAGGCAAUAUGGCUUCUUUCAUUGGAGAC